GCUGGACCUCUCGGGGUUACAGCCUUGCUGAAUUAUUCACCCUUGUCUUUUGCGUACUUCUUGUUUCCUUGGUGGGUUCGCCCACCACUAGGACAAACAUAAACCUUUUGUAAUUGCAAUCAGCGUCAGUAACAAAUUAAUAAUUACAACUUUCAACAACGGAUCUCUUGGUUCUGGCAUCGAUGAAGAACGCAGCGAAAUGCGAUAAGUAGUGUGAAUUGCAGAAUUCAGUGAAUCAUCGAAUCUUUGAACGCACAUUGCGCCCUUUGGUAUUCCAAAGGGCAUGCCUGUUCGAGCGUCAUUUGUACCCUCAAGCUUUGCUUGGUGUUGGGCGUCUUGUCUCUAGCUUUGCUGGAGACUCGCCUUAAAGUAAUUGGCAGCCGGCCUACUGGUUUCGGAGCGCAGCACAAGUCGCACUCUCUAUCAGCAAAGGUCUAGCAUCCAUUAAGCCUUUUUUUCAACUUUUGACCUCGGAUCAGGUAGGGAUACCCGCUGAACUUAAGCAUAUCAA
rnacentral:rRNA from 1 species